UAGUUAAUCAGAAAAUCACAAUGGCACCUCCGCUUUUUGGGCUUAGGUUGCUAUCUUCAUGAUUAUCGAAUUUUAUUUCACAUGAUCUUUCGCAGCAACGCGGCCAGUAAUAUAUUGGUUAUAUUAUAUUUUAUUGUGUACUCCUUGUCUUCAUAUUUGUGUACUACUGACCUAUAAUAUAUAAUAUAUAUAAGCCUUGUUCUAUGCUACUGACUACUGUACUAGCAUGUAC
rnacentral:lncRNA from 1 species